CCCUCACAUUUUGAUGGGGUAGCGCCUUGUUCCUCCUGCUCUGAGCCAGGGCCAUUAUAUCAUCUGGUAGAUGUCAAUGCUUCACCAUUUCCUGUGAGGGCCGUUGGGAGGCCAGAAUGAAUCAGAGAGUUGGGAAGGUGUGGCUGCAGAAUGCAGGGAGGGGAGGAACCUGCCAGCAUAAGCACCAGAGACGUGUGUUCACCCUUGCCAUUCCUGACUGUGCCCUACAAUUUGACAGGUUCUCCGUAUACCACAUGGACCCCACAGUGACAUUGAGUAAGUUGAAAGGUGGUGGGGUGUGCUUCCUGAUCAACACUCUCUGUAGCUCAGAUGUAGCAACUCCAGCAAGCCAUUGCUCCACAAUGCUGGUUCGAGGCCAUGGAAGACGGUGUCCGGGACUGCUUGUAAUCAGUGGACCGGAUGGUGUUCAAGCAGUCAGUGGAAAACCUAG